rnacentral:rRNA from 1 species
UACGUAGGGUGCAAGCGUUAAUCGGAAUUACUGGGCGUAAAGCGUGCGCAGGCGGUUUUGUAAGUCUGAUGUGAAAUCCCCGGGCUCAACCUGGGAAUUGCAUUGGAGGCUGCAAGGCUAGAAUCUGGCAGAGGGGGGUAGAAUUCCACGUGUAGCAGUGAAAUGCGUAGAGAUGUGGAGGAACACCGAUGGCGAAGGCAGCCCCCUGGGUCAAGAUUGACGCUCAUGCACGAAAGCGUGGGGAGCAAACAGG